rnacentral:tRNA from 1 species
GGGGUUGUAGCUCAGUGGUAGAGUGCUCACCUUGCAUGUGGAAGGCACUGGGCUCAAUCCUCAGCACCA